rnacentral:rRNA from 1 species
UGAGUAAUCUGCCCUUCACUUCGGGAUAACCGCCGGAAACGGUGGCUAAUACCGGAUACGACCCACUCUCGCAUGAGAUGUGGGUGGAAAGUCUUUUCGGUGAAGGAUGUGCUCGCGGCCUAUCAGCUUGUUGGUGAGGUAACGGCUCACCAAGGCUUCGACGGGUAGCCGGCCUGAGGGGGUGACCGGCCACACUGGGACUGAGACACGGCCCAGACUCCUACGGGAG